rnacentral:rRNA from 1 species
GACGAACGCUGGCGGCGUGCCUAACACAUGCAAGUCGAACGGAGUAGAGACUUCGGUUUUUACUUAGUGGCGAACGGGUGAGUAACGCGUGAGAAACCUGCCUUUCAGUGGGGGACAACAGUUGGAAACGACUGCUAAUACCGCAUAACAUAUCGAGGGGGCAUCCCUUUGAUAUCAAAGCUUUAUGUGCUGAAAGAUGGUCUCGCGUCUGAUUAGCUAGUUGGUGAGGUAACGGCUCACCAAGGCGACGAUCAGUAGCCGGUCUGAGAGGAUGAAAGGCCACAUUGGGACUGAGAGACGGCCCAGACUCCUACGGGAGGCAGCAGUGGGGAAUAUUGGGCAAUGGGGGAAACCCUGACCCAGCAACGCCGCGUGAAGGAAGAAGGCCUUCGGGUUGUAAACUUCUUUUACCAGGGACGAAGAACGUGACGGUACCUGGAGAAAAAGCAACGGCUAACUACGUGCCAGCAGCCGCAGUAAUAC